rnacentral:lncRNA from 1 species
GAUUUAUAAAUGUAACUAUUUAUAAAUGGAAAGAGAAAGAAACAAUUUAUAAUAGAUUAUGCAAAACUACUCUUAUAGUGCAACAUCAUAACAUAUAAAUAACAGCAAAAAUUUUUAUAUAUAAAUUCACUGCUCAAUAUGGUAUCUCUCUUUAAUGGAGAACAUGCUGGGUGUAGUUCAGAGAGGAACUUAUGGGAUUAAGAUAUCUCUUAUGGAAGGCUUUAUGUCCAUUGGUGACAAUGCAGCAAAGACUGGGAUAAAUCUUCUGAAGAUGGUCAUUGAUUACAUUCUUGAUCUUCAUUCUUUUUCUUUGCUUAAAAUAAACAGCACUAAUCAGGAGAGAGAGAAUUUUUCUUUCUUCUGAUCAGUGCUGUUUUAUCUUUAUUUUAAUUAAUACUGUAUAGGUAGUCUUCUACCUACAAUCAUUUGACUCAUGAUAAUGUGAUCUUACAAUUACUCUUAUAAUAUUCUGAAAUUCUAUUUUCAUAAAUUAUUUCUAUUCUAGA